UACGUAGGGUCCGAGCGUUGUCCGGAAUUAUUGGGCGUAAAGGGCUCGUAGGCGGUUUGUCGCGUCGGGAGUGAAAACUCAGGGCUCAACCCUGAGCGUGCUUCCGAUACGGGCAAACUAGAGGUAUGCAGGGGAGAAUGGAAUUCCUGGUGUAGCGGUGGAAUGCGCAGAUAUCAGGAGGAACACCGGUGGCGAAGGCGGUUCUCUGGGCAUUACCUGACGCUGGAGGAGCGAAAGCCAUGGGGAGCGAACAGG
rnacentral:rRNA from 1 species